rnacentral:misc_RNA from 1 species
UCCGGUUUGUCACCGGCAGUCACCUUAGAGUGCCCAACUGAAUGCUGGCAACUACUGGCAAGGGUUGCGCUCGUUGCGCCACUUAAGGCAACACCUCACGGCACGAGCUGACGACAGCCAUGCAGCACCUUCGCGGGCGCCCCGAAGGGAAGCCCCGUUUCGGGGGCGGUCGCCCGUGAUUUAGCCCGGGUAAGGUUCUUCGCGUUGCAUCGAAUUAAGCAACAUGCUCCGCCGCUUGUGCGGGCCCCCGUCAAUUCCUCUGAGUUUUAGCCUUGCGGCCGUACUUCCCAGGCGGGGCACUUAAUGCGUUAGCUACGGCACGGAGCCCGUCGAUCGAGCCCCACACCUAGUGCCCAACGUUUACGGCGUGGACUAC